rnacentral:lncRNA from 1 species
AGAAAAUUAAUUUAAAAUCCAACGCGCCUGAAGCAAACACGAAAGUUUGUAAGUAGAAUAUUCAGAUUUCAGAUUAUUGCAAGGCUUCAGAGUUAUGGAAAUUAUUGGAGAUAUUUAAGCACUCAUCUAUUUUGUAAAAUAGGCCAACUCACUUGCUUCAAACCAAGAUGCUAAUGACCCAGAUAUGAAAGAGUGAGCCAAAACGAAAGCCUAAAAUUACAUCGGUUGACAUAAACCCAUGAGUCUGCAAAGCCCAGCACGACCAAUGUCACUAAACUUUCAAUGGAAUCAAAUAACAGCUUCUUCAAUCAAAACACGAUGCCAAUAUAUCAAAUAUAACAAGGGAAAGAUGGCAAAUCAACAUAUCACAAAUAUUAAAUUAUAAAUAAUGCACGAAUCCUACAAAUCAAGUUAUCUGAUCUAUUUCUAUGAUAUUUUGGAAAGUUGGCGUGAAAAUGAGUUCAAAAUUAAGAAAACAAUUUCUUGCCAAAAUUUUGGAGUCAUUUCGUAUUUGUCCCUAUACACCAACAGUCAUUCCACUUGCCAAAGUAAAAUACCAAAUACACAUUCUUAAGAAUACCAAACCACUGAAUUAAUAAAAAGUACUAGUAAAUGCCAACAUUCUGAGUUGAAACAUCUAUUCUAAACAAACAAUUCAACCUUAAAUGAGCAAACAAACCUUAGAUCACCUCACAAUUACCUUCAAAAUGCAAACCACACUUGAUCAUUUUUGCAAAUUCCAUACGAAACUAUCACGCUGACUUCCAGCAAUAUAGAAGAAACAAAACUGGUCGUGUAACUAGAACAAACCAGAUACUACACUAUCUCUAACAGUCCCAAAUUAAACUUGUGCAUUCGAACUUUACUGCCUAAAUCAGAAAUUAGGCAGAAAACAUAGUGAAUCCGGCUGUUAAGCCAUCAAACAGAUGAGGAAUUCUUAAAGGUCAUAGAUUCACUUCCUUAGUACAAUAAUUAGGCUAAACAUAUGUAAUACAAGGUUUACUACAGAAUACUUAAAGAAAUGGAAGAAAACAAAAGAAAUUAAGUGCAAUGUAUCCUGUAUUCAACCAAUCUCUCGAUUUACAUGUUUCAACAAUCACUUGCUACUCAGGGGGGGCUAAGGUGGUACCUGGAAUUCGAAAACAACACAGAAAAUGAGGAAGCAGCAGCAGAACAGUAGCAAGAACAGCGAUCAGCCCAGAUUUUAUCCGAGAAGACAACUAAUAACCCCGGAUAUAUCAAUGUAACAGUUAACGGAUGGAAAAUUCGAACAAAUACUUUCCAAAACCAAUUCAAAUCGUUUUUGAAACUGUAGAAAAUCAGAAAACUUAUCUAGGAAUAGAAAGUUUCAAGAUUUAAUGCAGAACAGCAAUGGAACAGUAGUUUUCUCCUCACUUCUGAUUCUAUCCCCUUCUCUUAGGUCUGUCUGUGUGUAUCUCAAUGCCCAUCUUUCUGUCUAUGUGUGUCUGUUUUAAGACUAGAGCCAACUCCCUUUUUUAUUCAAAUCUUUUCCCUUUCCAGCUUGUUUUAUUCUCUUACCAUGUGUAUCCCUUAGCCUUUUAAUCACACCCCCAUGUUCUUCUGUUUUCCAGCUCUUAAAAGGUCCUUAAACAAGUGUAGUUUCCACUACCAAUACCCUUUUCUAUUUUUUAAUUCAUUCCACUAACUUAAUGUUUUUUUAACUAAUUCAGUAGUGCAUUUCCUAGACCCUACCACUAUUGAGAAACCUCCUAUUUAAUUAUUGGCAGAUUUUCCUACCCAAAUUACCCUCAAAACUUCUGUUAUUUAUUCCCCUAAGUUCUGAAGUACCUUGAUUAUAGUAAACAAAAGAUUAAAACCUUCGACUAGAUUGAAAAGCAAAAUCAGUUAUCAAAUUAAUUAACGACAUGCACGAAUAUGAACAUAAGGACAACGAACGGACAUUUCACACUUUUAACCUUAAUUCAAAACUCAAGAAGAGAAAAAUACGAGGCAAAAAUGAAAUAAAAACAAGAAAAGAAAAGAGGUAGUACUGGGGACUCACCAACUCAACAGGUUCAUUUGGCAUUUGAAUUUUUUCCGAUUUCAUCCCCAAAUGAUGUUAGCCAUUUGCUCUUUGUUAGAACAAGUGAUUAACACCAUUUUGCAACAAAAUCGGCCCUGAAAUUAUCAACAAUCCUUGUAUUUGAAUCUGUUUUUUUUAGAAUUCGAACUCAAGAUUUGAAACUCGAACUAUUUUUGACAAAUUCGAGGACAACCAUAUAUGUAUCAGGUAUGAGGAGGUCAAGGAGGUUAUGGGGUGUUAGUUUGGGGCCGAUUGGGUAAACUAGGGUUUUUGGGUUCAAACUUCGAUCGAAGAUUCGACCAGUUCGGUUGCGAUUCGAAAGAAACGGUUUGGGGAUUUGAGAUGAUGAGCUGAAGGAGAAUCUACGGUGUUAAUUUGUGGUGGUUUGGGCCACUGGAACCGCCGUGAGGCGAUUUCCGGUGGGCAGAAGAGGGCGGUGUGCGGUGGUGCAUGUUCUUGGUCUCUGAAGAGAUGAGUGGGGAGUGUUUGGUAUAUUAAAAGGGUAAUUAGAUUAGGGCCGUUGGAUGAUGAGAAUCCAACGGCCAUGAUUGAUCCUUUAAUGAGAACGGGGUCGUUUGGUGUAGCAACUGGGGCGGACCGGGUUGGGAAAAACGGGUCGGGUCAGGUGACGGGUGAUGGGGUGCAUUCUAGACCGUUGGAUGAACAAUUUUUAACGGCUCAGAUUGAAGCAUGUCCAAACGACGUCACUUGGUUUAGUAAGGGGCUGGACCAGUUGGGCGUUGGUUUUGGGCUGGACUGGGGUGGGUUUUAGGUGUAUUUGAUUUGGGCCUGUUGAAUUAAGUUGUGUUCGGCCCAAUUUUGAUUCCCUUCUCUUGCCUUUUCUAUUUAUUUCCAAAUUGUUUCCGAAAUUAAAACUAAAAAUCCUAGAUUAAAUUAUAAAACCUAAAUUAGUUUUAAGAAUAUUAAUUAACUCUAAAUAAUAAUCAUCAUAAGUAAUAAAAGACUAAAUUUAAAUAAAAUCAUACAAUUUUUGACAUUAAACAUUAAAAUGCGAAGUACGUUAUUUUUUUAUGAUUUUUCCAUUUUUGUAAAACAACAACUCACUUAACUAAUCGUAAAAAUUAAACCGUAAAUGCAAAUACAACAUAUUUUUGUAUUUUUAUUGAUUUAACAAAUAAACAUGCACAGAAAAUGCAAACAAUAACAGAAAACACCAUGACAAUCCACAAAAUUGUAAGCAACGGAAAAAUUAUUUUAUUUGAAUUUUUUGGGAGCACUUCUCAUAGGGCAAAAAUCACGUGCUCACACCUACAAUGCACCACCAUCUCCUAUCAGUGCACCUCUGUUCCAGAGUUUUCAGGGUGGUUACUUAUACCGACAGGGUCGGUUUCAGGGUCAACAGUCACAACAGCCGAGGUCCUAUUAUACUUGUGGUGAUCCGAGGCACAUUGCCAGAUUUUUUCCCUCAUGCAUCGAGCAGUUCUCAGCAUUUGAGUUCUCGUGCCAUGGUCCCGGCACCAGGUGAUUCACUGCCCGCUCAGCCAGCUAGAGGUAGGGGUCAGGCAGCCAGAGGUGGUGAUAAGGCCAUUAGAGGUUGAUGUUGUCACACCUCCUUUUUACUACCCCUGGAAGGGGUAUAAGGGAGUUUUUCCAAUUAAAGUGACAAUCAAAACGAGAUUAUUCUAUCUAGAAAUCAGAGUCACCACUUGAAAUAAUUUAUGGUGUCCCAAGUCACCGGUUUUAAAUCCCGAAUCGAGGAAAGAUUGACUCUGUUUUACAUUUCGCAAACACAGAAAUCCGGGUAAGGAAUUCUGUUAACUCGGGAGAAGGUGUUAGGCAUUCUCGGGUUCUGUGGUUGUAGCACGGUCGCUCAACUGUUAUUAUUAGCCUAUUUAUUUGAUUUUAAAACAUCUUUGAAACCUAUGUGCAUUUUUAUUCCUUUUAAACCGCUUUUAAUAACCCGAUUAUUAUACAACUAAUUAUUGAUUACACGUUUACAAAUCAUGCCACGGGAACCGUACCCACGAUCCACAACAUGUUUAUUUUAAAACAAGAUUAAAUUGUGGAUGAGUCACAUAAAUAUACCCCCGAAUUUUAGAAAUUAAACGUCACGACCACGUCACGGGAAGCAUACCCAUACCCAUGACAAUUUUUUAAUAUACGCGCCUAAAGCAGCUACGAAAGUUCGAAGCAUUUCCUAAACUAACUUUGUAUUUAUGUGAGGGCCAUAUGUUAUGAAUUUAUUUGUGUAUGGCGCACCUCAAAUUAUUCUAAAGAAAAAGGUUUGUAUAUAUUUUUAAAAGACAAACUAAGAUAUUCCUACUUAUCUAAUUUAAAAAAAAAACAAGUACCACAACCACGUCACGGGAACCGUACCCGUAGGUUUAAUGGUUUAAUUACGUGCCUAAAGCAAAUAACGAGAUUCAUUUUUUUUAUCUAAGUUAUAAAUAUGAGGGCCAUGGGUUAUAUGAUUCUCUGUAUGAAUGGCACGCCUCAAAACUAUUCCACUAAAUGAACUAGUAUAUUCAUAUUUAGAGUUGAUUCAAAAUUAAACAUCGCAACCACGUCACAGAAACCGUACCCGUAGUCGUGAUGUUCUAACUAUGCCCAGGGCGAAUUAUUCAUGUUCAUCGGGUGACUAUUUUCCGGCUAUUGAUCUCCACUAAGAUCCGCAAAUGCGCCUUCAAUUGAUUAAAAUUCAGCAGCAAUUCAGAGGAUUCACCGUUGUUAACUUCCUUUCCAUUCCAAGGAAUUUACCAAGUAGAGUGCAAGCAAUUACACACAAUAAGGAUUUCAACAUUCUCUAGCUAACACUGUUGUAAUCGAAAAUGACAUGUAUGUUAGAUACUAUCCUUACCAAGACCAAAUACCAAAAACUCAACAGUGGAGCCGUUCCAUCCCCCUCCUAAUGAUUUAACAUUUUUUUCUUUUUAACCAAGGUACACAUUCUGUCAGAAGGGACAUGCUUAUGGAAUGAAAGGUCACUAUCAAGCAAGAUACAAUAUAACAAACCACCUUCAAUCUGCAUUACACACAUAAUACAUUUUUCUUUUGCUAGCUAACAAAUUUAAUUGCGAUUCACAAUGAACUUCAUAAUAAAGACUUUAUUUGCAGUACACUUCACUUCUUAAAUAUUUUAUUAGUAGUAAAAAGAAAUCAAAUCGAUGAGACAUGUAGGAGUUUAGAUGAACAUUUUCGGAUCCUACAAGCUAACUUUUAACAUAAUACCUUACUAACCUAAAUAAUUUUACACUUAAUUGAAGCAAGAAUCAUGAUAUUAGUUAUGCGAUGAGAAUUAAAUGGAUUCGAAAGAUAGAAAGAUGCACAAAAUACAGAUCUAGAAACAAGGACUUAGCAUGAGCAAAAUUUAUUCUAAAUUCCAUUCAAAGCUGAAGUUUACAUACCUACUAGAAGAAGAAUCAAAAAUAAAAAUCUGAAAAUUAUAAAUGGAGCAUAGCAGUCACUAUAGCAGCAACAAAGGUCCCUCUCAAUAUUUCUUGAUGACCAGGAUCACUAGAAGAAACCAGAAAAUGCUAAGAAAAAACAAAAGUACUAGGAAAAGUUUGAGAUAAAAUUUUUCUUUGCCAAUAUUUUUUGUUUUCUGCCGUAUCCCCAUUUUCUCUUUAGCCUAAAGUGUGUAUUUAUAACCCUCUUGCUAGGGCAACAAAUCAGAACUUCCUAAAUUUACAACCACCCUUUUCCAAAAACGUUCUGCCCAGUUUUACCUAAAAAUUGUACUAUUUACUCAAUCAAUCCCCCACCCUCACCUUCCUAGAACUUUCCUAGGU